ACCUACCGAAGAGUUGGGUAUAGCUCAUCGAAAGAUGAGGUAAUUCCCAAUGAUCUGAUAGUCAAUUAUUUAUUACAAAAUGCCAAAUUCAAAUAAUCAUAAAAAUUUCGCAAGAGAAUUUUUUAAAUUUGAAUUUAGGAUAGGACGUUUUGUGAUAAAUAAUUGACUAUCAGCAAAGAUUUCGCAAGAAAUCGCUCUUUGAUGGGUCUAGGUCCUAUCAGGUAGUUGGUGAGGUAAUGGCCCACCAAGCCUAUGACGGGUAGGGGAGCUGAGAGGCUGUUCCCCAACAGGGACACUGAGACACGGGUCCCACUCCUACGGGAGGCAGCAGUCGAGAAUAUUCGGCAAUGGGCGCAAGCCUGACCGAGCGACGCCGCGUGAAGGAAGAAGCCCUUCGGGGUGUAAACUUCUUUUCUUAGGGAAAAAUCCCUCCCUUUUGGGCAAUAAAUAUAUUAUCGCCUAAAAGGGAGGGAUGAUGGUACCUAAGGAAUAAGGGGCUGCCAACUACGUGCCAGCAGCCGCGGUAAUACGUAGGCCCCAAGCGUUAUCCGGAUUUAUUGGGCGUAAAGGGUGCGUAGGUGGUUUAUCACAUCUUUGGUUAAAGUCCUAAGCUCAACUUAGGAAUUGCCAAGGAGAUGGAUAAACUAGAGAAUGCCAGAGGUGGCUGGAACUGCCGGUGUAGGGGUGAAAUCCGUUGAUAUCGGCAGGAACGCCAGAGGUGAAAACGAGCCACUGGGGUAUUUCUGACACUGAGGCACGAAAGUGUGGGGAGCAAAAAGGAUUAGAUACCCUUGUAGUCCACACCCUAAACGAUGCCGACUAGCUGUUUCGAGUAUCGACCCUCGGAGUGGCGAAGCUAACGCGUUAAGUCGGCCGCCUGGGAAGUACGGCCGCAAGGCUAAAACUCAAAGGAAUAGACGGGGACUCGCACAAGCGGUGG
rnacentral:rRNA from 1 species